rnacentral:rRNA from 1 species
GGAAGUAAAAGUCGUAACAAGGUCUCCGUAGGUGAACCUGCGGAGGGAUCAUUACACAAUAAACAUAUGAAGGCUGCACCGCCAACAGGCGGCAAGGCUGGAGUAUUUUAUUACCCUUGUCUUUUGCGCACUUGUUGUUUCCUGGGCGGGUUCGCCCGCCUCCAGGACCACAUGAUAAACCUUUUUUAUGCAGUUGCAAUCAGCGUCAGUACAACAAAUGUAAAUCAUUUACAACUUUCAACAACGGAUCUCUUGGUUCUGGCAUCGAUGAAGAACGCAGCGAAAUGCGAUACGUAGUGUGAAUUGCAGAAUUCAGUGAAUCAUCGAAUCUUUGAACGCACAUUGCGCCCUUUGGUAUUCCAAAGGGCAUGCCUGUUCGAGCGUCAUUUGUACCCUCAAGCUUUGCUUGGUGUUGGGCGUUUUUUGUCUUUGGUUUUGUCCAAAGACUCGCCUUAAAACGAUUGGCAGCCGGCCUACUGGUUUCGCAGCGCAGCACAUUUUUGCGCUUGCAAUCAGCAAAAGAGGACGGCACUCCAUCAAGACUCUAUAUCACUUUUGACCUCGGAUCAGGUAGGGAUACCCGCUGAACUUAAGCAUAUCAAUAAGCGGAGGAA